UCCCUGGUAGUAUAUCGGUUUAGUACACGCGCCUGUCAUAUGCGAGAUCAAACGAUGGCAAUAGAAGACGCGCGAAAUCUAGGUUCGACUCCCAGCUAGGGAG
rnacentral:tRNA from 1 species